rnacentral:rRNA from 1 species
GACGAACGCUGGCGGCGUGCCUAAUACAUGCAAGUGGGACGCAAGGGAACACACUGUGCUUGCACACCGUGUUUUCUUGAGUCGCGAACGGGUGAGUAACGCGUAGGUAACCUGCCUAUUAGCGGGGGAUAACUAUUGGAAACGAUAGCUAAUACCGCAUAAUAUUAAUUAUUGCAUGAUAACUGAUUGAAAGAUGCAAGCGCAUCACUAGUAGAUGGACCUGCGUUGUAUUAGCUAGUUGGUAAGGUAAGAGCUUACCAAGGCGACGAUACAUAGCCGACCUGAGAGGGUGAUCGGCCACACUGGGACUGAGACACGGCCCAGACUCCUACGGGAGGCAGCAGUAGGGAAUCUUCGGCAAUGGACGAAAGUCUGACCGAGCAACGCCGCGUGAGUGAAGAAGGUUUUCGGAUCGUAAAGCUCUGUUGUAAGUCAAGAACGUGUGUGAGAGUGGAAA